GCCUUCUUGGUGUAGGGUUCAACACACUCGGCGCGUAUUCGAGAGGUCCGUGGUUCGAAUCCCGGAGAGAGCA
rnacentral:tRNA from 1 species